GACGAACGCUGGCGGCGUGCUUAACACAUGCAAGUCGAACGGAAAGGCCCUGCUUUUGUGGGGUGCUCGAGUGGCGAACGGGUGAGUAACACGUGAGUAACCUGCCCUUGACUUUGGGAUAACUUCAGGAAACUUGGGCUAAUACCGGAUAGGAGCUCCUGCUGCAUGGAGGGGGUUGGAAAGUUUCGUCGGUUGGGGAUGGACGCGCGGCUUAUCAGCUUGUGGGUGGGGUAGUGGCUUACCAAGGCUUUGACGGGUAGCCGGCCUGAGAGGGUGACCGCGCACAUUGGGACUGAGAGACGGACCAGACUCCUACGGGAGGCAACAGUGGGAAAUCUUGCCCAAUGAGCGGAAGCCUGAUGCAGCAACGCCGCGUGCGGGAUGACGGCCUUCGGGUUGCAAACAGCUUUCGCCUAUGACGAAGCGUGAGUGACGGUAAUGUAUAAAGAAGCACCGGCUAACUACGUG
rnacentral:rRNA from 1 species